rnacentral:rRNA from 1 species
UGCGGAAGAUCCAUUGUCG